rnacentral:rRNA from 1 species
UUAGAGUUUGAUUUUGGCUCAGGAUGAACGCUAGCGGCAGGCUUAAUACAUGCAAGUCGAACGGGAUUUAGGGUAGCAAUACUUUAAUGAGAGUGGCGCACGGGUGCGUAACACGUAUGCAACCUACCUUUAACUGGAAGAUAGCCCCGGGAAAUCGGGAUUAAUAUUUCAUAACAAUGCGCGAUGGCAUCAUCAUGCAUUUAAAGCUCCGGCGGUUAAAGAUGGGCAUGCGGGACAUUAGCUUGUUGGUGAGGUAACGGCUCACCAAGGCGAUGAUGUCUAGGGGUCCUGAGAGGGUUAUCCCCCACGCUGGUACUGAGACACGGACCAGACUCCUACGGGAGGCAGCAGUAAGGAAUAUUGGUCAAUGGGCGCAAGCCUGAACCAGCCAUGCCGCGUGCAGGAAGACGGCCCUAUGGGUUGUAAACUGCUUUUGUCAGGGAAUAAACCCCCGUACGUGUACGGGGCUGAAGGUACCUGAAGAAUAAGCAUCGGCUAACUCCGUGCCAGCAGCCGCGGUAAUACGGAGGAUGCAAGCGUUAUCCGGAUUCAUUGGGUUUAAAGGGUGCGCAGGCGGAUUGAUAAGUCAGGGGUGAAAUCCCACAGCUCAACUGUGGAACUGCCUUUGAUACUGUUAGUCUUGAGUAUAGUUGAAGUGGGCGGAAUGUGUCAUGUAGCGGUGAAAUGCUUAGAUAUGACACAGAACACCGAUCGCGAAGGCAGCUCGCUAAGCUAUAACUGACGCUCAUGCACGAAAGCGUGGGGAUCAAACAGGAUUAGAUACCCUGGUAGUCCACGCC